rnacentral:rRNA from 1 species
CNUGCAGUCGAACGCAUCGCANGAUGAGUGGCANNACGGGUGAGUAACGCGUGGGAAUCUACCCAAUUCUUCGGAACAACUGAGGGAAACUUCAGCUAAUACCGGAUGUGCCCUUCGGGGGAAAGAUUUAUCGGAAUUGGAUGAGCCCGCGUUGGAUUAGCUAGUUGGUGGGGUAAAGGCCUACCNGGNCGACGAUCCAUAGCUGGUCUGAGAGGAUGACCAGCCNNNCUGGGACUGAG